rnacentral:lncRNA from 1 species
GCCGCUGCCCCGAGGGCAGCAACGACUUCCAGUGGUGCUUCUCUCAGGUGAAGGGCACCCUCAUGGAGGACGUGGCGGAAGCUGACAUCAUUUCAACUGUUGAAUUUAAUUACUCUGGAGAUCUUGCAACAGGAGACAAGGGUGGCAGAGUUGCUAUUUUUCAACAGAAACAAGAGAAUAAAAGCAGUCCUCAUUCUAGGGGAGAAUAUAAUGUUUACAGUACCUUUCAAAGUUAUGAAUCAGAGUUGGACUAUUUGAAAGGUCUAGAAAUUGAAGAUAAAAUUAGAUGGUUGCCACAACAGAAUGCUGCUCAUUUUCUACUCUCUACAAAUGAUGACCUGAGGAUAAAUCUAUGGCAUUUAGAAAUCACAGAUAGAAGCUUUAACAUCGUGGAUAUCAAGCCUGCUAACAUGGAAGAGCUGACGGAAGUCAUCACCGCUGCUGAAUUCCAUCCACACCAGUGCAAUGUGCCUGUCUACAGCAGCAGCAAAGGAACCAUCUGGCUAUGUGACAUGCGUUCCUCUGCCCUGUGUGACAGACAUUCUAAGUGUAAGUACCUGGUGCCUCUUAAUGGUAUCAUUUAAAUUCUUCUGUUUUCCAGACAGUAACCCAUUUGCACAAAUAGAAGUUUCUCUUGCCCUUCCCACAUCCAGGCAAGUAUAGGGGCCUCUGCCUUUGAAAAGCCCAAAGGCAGCUCUGUUGUUAGUCAUUGCUAAUGGGAAGUGGAACUUACAGUCUUGUUCUUGCAGGUGACCACCCUAAAUUGACUAUUGUGAGGCAAGGGCUUUUGGUGCCAGUGGUUUACUUCUGCCUCGGAUCUCAGGGCCUCAUCUGAGCGCUUCCCAAUCUGGGGCCAGAUGAAAAACAUUUGUGAUCUCUAUCUUUGUGUAUUGGGACCCAGGCUGAGACUGCCGCUAUGCAUUUCACCUGUGACCAUUCUCAGCGCUCAUGUGACCUGUGUUCAUAUUAAGCUUUGCUAGAUUCAAAGCCAGUUCCAGGGGGAGAAAUUCUACAAUUUAAUUUGCUGAGCCUUGAAAUUCCUUCUAGUUGAUGAAAGUAGAUUUUGUUUAUAGUCAUAAAAAAUAGGUUUGCCGGGCAGAGUGACACAUUCUUGUAGUUCCAGCUACUCCAGAGACUGAGGUAGGAGGGUCAGUGACCAAGGAGUUCUAGACCUCAACUGAAAAAAUGUAGAAUAGGCUCGGAUGUAUGGAAAAUCAUAGCCCAUGUUGUGUUAUGCAACGUGCAUCCCGGAAAUCUUGCUGACCUUUCCCAGUACCGAUAGGGGUAACUAUCUGCUAAAGUGUGCCAGCACCAACAAUACCUUGAUGAAAUACCCUUGCUAGUUCUCAACAACUUUCUGCCUUCUCUUCCCUGAGGCUGAAGUUUUUUUAAGAAUUCCAUGCACCUUUUAGAAUUACUCCAAUGAAGAAGAAAUAUUAUAAACAUUUACCCUUUGUCUUCAAGAUAACAUUAUUAAGAAAACGGUUUUAGAUUUUAAGAGUAGUUUUUGUCAG